GCCGGCGUACAAGGACGCGGACGGAUGGCGGAGGCGUGGGUCCCUUCAUCUCUCACGCAUUCACUCUCACGUCUUCCGCCGUCACACCGUCCGCCGUGGGUUCGAAUCCCGCCGCCGGCG
rnacentral:tRNA from 1 species